CGGAAUAUAGCGCAGUCCGGUAGCGCAUCUGCCUUGGGAGCAGGGGGCCGCAAGUUCGAAUCUUGCUAUUCCGACCA
rnacentral:tRNA from 7 species